CACAUUGGAAGGCACUCAGCCUGACCUUGAAAUCCCCUGGAGUGAGCAACUCAAUUAAUGUGUGAUUAGUAUGGACGAUGGCACCAAACCUUGAGGUGUUCAACCAUGAGGGAAUACAACCCCAGGCGGUUCAGGCCUCUGGAUCCUCUCUGAUUAUCCUGGAAGUAGGUCCUCAUCUUGCUCCCAGGCAAUAUCAAAGGCCCAUGGAGUGAAAGACACUAUUUAGCCAACCUCAGCCCACCAGCAAGUUUUGAACAUCUGGCAUUUGGGAGAUCCAGUAAGACCGGGAGUCCAAUGUGGAUAAAUGACUGGGGCUAUAAUCCCCCAACCAGACGUGACCCGGGCCAGCUCAUCCUGGAGCUCAGAGACACAAGGGUUUACUGUGAUUCAAAGAAGUCCCUGGAAGAGGAGGGAGCAAGAAGAGGCAGAACUAACACUUGGUGAAUUCCAACCACAUUCCAGACACUGAACUAAGAAUAACUAUUCUCCUGUUUAAUGCCCACAGCAGUAGGCACUUCUGAGUUCAUCUUAGAUGUAUAGAACCAAAAUAACGCAGUGGAGAAUCCCUAUGCCUGGAGCGGGAAGAAUGUAGUAGACCGCUCCUGCUGUAGUCUUUUCUCUUCUCUGAUUAGAGACCCAUACGGGGUAAUGA